AGGAGGGGCAAAACGCAAAAGUGUCAUUUUCUCCGGAGUCUGACAUGUGGGUCCACAAAAAUGCAAAGAACUCAGAAAUAGCUUUCGCUCACAGCAGUGUCCUACCAUUCACCAUCCUAAACCCUAAACCUGCCGCCGCCAUGGCCGCCGCCGUCCGUCUCCUCCUUCGCCGCCGCCUUUCCACGGCCACUACCACCUCGCCGCCCCCCACCCCGGCCUCCAUCCUCAACCCGUCCUCCCCGAGCACCCCCCUCACCUCGCGGCAGAAGACCCGCCUCGCCAUCUCCCUCCUCAAGACCUCCCCGCCGCCGCCCCCCGACCAGAUCCUCUCCAUCUGCCGCGCCGCCGCGCUCUCCCCGGACACCCACAUCGACCGCGUCGCCCUGUCGCUCGCCGCAUCGAAGCUCUCCUCCGCCCCGGACUCCCUCCGCGACCUCGCCUCCACCGUCCUCACCCCCCGCCACACUCCCCACGCCAUCGCGCUCUUCGGCCAGGCUGGCCUCCUCCCCGACGCCAUCUCCACCUUCCAGUCCUCGCCCUCCACCCGCUCCUUGAACGCUCUCCUCUUCGCAUGCAUCGUCUCCGGCAACCACGCUGAGGCCGCACGCAUUUUCCAGACUUUCCCGGACGCACAUGGCGUCAAGCUCAACACCGAGACCUUCAACGCCAUUAUCAAAUCCUUCGCCGAGUCCGGCACCAUAAGAUCCUUCUAUUCGGUGUUCGACGAAAUGUGCAAGAAGGGGGUGAAGCCCAACGCCACCACGUUUACCACCGCGCUCGCUGGUUUCUACAAGGAGGAGCGGUUCGAUGACGUGGGGAAGGUGAUAGAGCUCAUGAAGAAGCAUGGGUGUGGUGAGUCGCUGCCAGUGUACAAUGUUAGGGUGCAGAGUUUGUGCAAACUCGGCCGGAGUGGUGAGGCGAAGGCAUUAGUGAACGAGAUGGUGAAGAAGGGAACAAAGCCAAGCUGGUUGACUUACAACCAUUUGAUUUACGGAUUCUGUAAGGACGGGGAUUUGGAGGAAGCAAAACGGCUAUACAAGGAGAUGGGGAGGAAGGGGCUUGUUGGGGAUAGUAACUUCUAUUUUACGCUCAUUCAUUACCUUUGUAGGGGUGGCGAUUUUGAUGCUGCCCUUGGAGUAUACAUUGAGAUAGCAGCUAGGAAUUGGGUGCCAUGCUUCUCGACCAUGAAGAUGCUUGUGAAUGGGCUUGCUGGGAGCUCAAGGAUCGAUGAGGCAAAGGGGAUUAUUGAGAAGAUGAAGGAGAAGUUCCCAGAUAAAACUGAUGGUUGGAAGGAGGUAGAGGAGGCACUACCUCAAUAGAGUAACAGAUCGACGAUCUUGCAGGUAUUUUUUGCUUCUGCAAUACAUAGAAUAUUUGUCAGUGGAGCAGACAAACUACAUCAACAUUUGAUCGACUGUUCCGAGCAUAUGGAUCCUUGUUCCAGAUACAAUUUUACUACAGAUGUGAAAUAUGCUAAUCCUGCUGUGAUGAGAAUUUUUCCAUCAUGGAAUCGUUGAGUCAUUCGAAGGUAUCUCGUCCUUUGUGGAAAGCAAAUGCCGGACCAUCUGCAAGAUAUUUUGGGGAUACUCGGCUCUUUGCUUCUUUGGUGCAUUGUGCAAAUUAUAGUUUGGUUUAGGGAGUAGAAGAUAAUAAACCUGUCGCUCUGCCUUUUCUUAGUCUCUGUGCUGGAUACCUGUAUCGCGCAGUAAGCAUAAGAAAGCUAGGACAAACAAUAUGGGUUGACGCUGGCAAUGUGGGACGCGCGCCUGCAUGAUGCACCGGAACUCUGGAAGGCCUUUGCAGCUUGAAAGUGGAAUUCCCUUGACCAGUCUCGAAACAUACACUUACUGCAGGUACCUGCCCAAAUAAGAUUUUGGAUUUUCCUUCUUACAGGUCCUGCUAUUUGUGCCGUGACAGAAUGCUACGCUUCAAAACUUUUAUGUAUCACUUACAUUCUAUAUUUGAUUCGAUGGUAUAAAUCAUAACUACAAUUGAGUGUA